CGUGCAGGCGGUGCGGUAAGUUGGAUGUGAAAGCUCCCGGCUCAACUGGGAGAGGCCGUUCAAUACUGCCACACUCGAGGACGGUAGAGGGAGGUGGAAUUCCCGGUGUAGUGGUGAAAUGCGUAGAUAUCGGGAGGAACACCAGUGGCGAAGGCGGCCUCCUGGGCCGUUCCUGACGCUCAGACGCGAAAGCAGGGGGAGCGAACG
rnacentral:rRNA from 1 species